UACGGAGGGUGCGAGCGUUGUCCGGAAUCACUGGGCGUAAAGGGCGCGUAGGCGGCGCGGGAAGUCAUCGGUGAAAGCUCAGGGCUCAACCCUGAGUCGGCCGGUGAUACUCUCGUGCUUGAGCACUGUAGAGGCAGGUGGAAUUCCGGGUGUAGCGGUGGAAUGCGUAGAGAUCCGGAAGAACACCGGUGGCGAAGGCGGCCUGCUGGGCAGUAGCUGACGCUGAGGAGCGAAAGCGUGGGGAGCGAACAGG
rnacentral:rRNA from 1 species